AUUGCUGUCUGCAUUAUCAAGUUUUCCUUAAGUGCACUUUUCGGACUUUAAAGACAGUCCAUAAGAAGAAGUGGACACAGUGAACGUUCGGAGAGAAACUUCUGGAGAGGUUGAAGAGGAACGUGUUUUACCUGGAAGCAGUGUCGUAUAAAAUCCUCUUGAGAGCUGUUGGUAUCCCAAGCUAUGGAAUGCAGAGAACCAGGAGUGCUACGUCCCUCACCU